rnacentral:rRNA from 1 species
UACGUAGGGGGCAAGCGUUGUCCGGAAUCAUUGGGCGUAAAGAGCGCGUAGGCGGUCCGGUAAGUCGGUUGUGAAAACUGGGGGGCUCAACCCUCAGAGGCCGACCGAUACUGCCGGGCUAGAGUCCGGAAGAGGCGAGUGGAAUUCCUGGUGUAGCGGUGGAAUGCGCAGAUAUCAGGAAGAACACCGGUGGCGAAGGCGGCUCACUGGCUCAUUACUGACGCUCAGGCGCGAUAGCGUGGGGAUCAAACAGG